rfam:Chaetura pelagica isolate M959 contig3623, whole genome shotgun sequence.
GCUAAAAGCUAGGGCUGGGGCUCGGAGGAUGUGUGAGCAAACGGAAGGAGAGCCGGGAGAAGAAAAAACGAAAUGGAUUCAUUCUCUGUCCUGGAUGGAGGAGGAGAGGAGAGGAGAAGAGAAGGGGACGUGCGAGCUUCCUUCAACUGCCUCUGUCCGGUGAAAAGUGCUCAGACCCCCGGGGCUGAGCCGGGCUCAGGAGUCCGCCGCGGACUUUCGCUUUAAGCUGCCAAUCAAACCGCUAACGAGCCACCACCCUGCUCUGGCACCGACAU